GCGCGAAAACCUUACAAUGCUGGCAACAGCGAUAAGGGAACCUCGAGUGCCAGGUUACAAAUCUGGCUGUCGAGAUGCCUAAAAAGCAUUUCAUAGCAAGGGCCGGGCAAGACCGGUGCCAGCCGCCGCGGUAACACCGGCGGCUCGAGUGGUAACCGUUAUUAUUGGGUCUAAAGGGUCUGUAGCCGGCCGGAUAAGUCUCUUGAGAAAUCUGGCAGCUUAACUGUCAGGCUUUCAGGAGAUACUGUCUGGCUCGAGGCCGGGAGAGGUGAGAGGUACUUCAGGGGUAGGGGUGAAAUCUUGUAAUCCUUGAAGGACCACCAGUGGCGAAGGCGUCUUACCAGAACGGACCUGACGGCAAGGGACGAAAGCUAGGGGCACGAACC
rnacentral:rRNA from 1 species